rnacentral:rRNA from 1 species
UAGCUGCGUUAACCGGUGUGAAUUGCAGGACACGCCGAGCACUCGACAUUCGAACGCACAUUGCGCCCUUGGGCUACUCCCGAGGGCUUAUCUGUCUGAGA